AAAUUGAAGAGUUUGAUCAUGGCUCAGAUUGAACGCUGGCGGCAGGCCUAACACAUGCAAGUCGAACGGUAGCACAGAGAGCUUGCUCUCGGGUGACGAGUGGCGGACGGGUGAGUAAUGUCUGGGAAACUGCCUGAUGGAGGGGGAUAACUACUGGAAACGGUAGCUAA
rnacentral:rRNA from 1 species